GGCGAACGGGUGAGUAACACGUGGGUAACCUGCCCCCAUCUCUGGGAUAACCGUUGGAAACGGCGGCUAAUACCGGAUACGACCUGGCUCCGCAUGGUGCUGGGUGGAAAGUUUUUGCGGUUGGGGAGGGGCCCGCGGCCUAUCAGCUUGUUGGUGCGGUAGUGGCGCACCAAGGCUUUGACGGGUAGCCGGCCUGAGAGGGCGGUCGGUCACAUUGGGACUGAGAUACGGCCCAGACUCCUACGGGAGGCAGCAGUGGGGAAUUUUGCACAAUGGGCGAAAGCCUGAUGCAGCGACGCCGCGUGAGGGAUGACGGCUUUCGGGUUGUAAACCUCUUUUAUCCACCACGAAGGCCCCGUAUUCGCGGGGUUGACGGUAGUGGUUGAAUAAGCGCCGGCUAACUACGUGCCAGCAGCCGCGGUAAGACGUAGGGCGCGAGCGUUGUCCGGAUUUAUUGGGCGUAAAGGGCUCGUAGGCGGUUGAUUGCGUCCGCCGUGAAAGGCCUCGGCUUAACCGGGGUUUUGCGGUGGAUACGGGUCGACUUGAGGCAAUUAGGGGAGAUCGGAAUUCUACGUGUAACGGUGAAAUGCGCAGAUAUGUGGAGGAACACCGGUGGCGAAGGCGGAUCUCUGGGAUUGUUCUGACGCUGAGGAGCGAAAGCGUGGGGAGCGAACAGGAUUAGAUACCCUGGUAGUCC
rnacentral:rRNA from 1 species